rnacentral:rRNA from 1 species
AAUCUUGCGCAAUGGGCGAAAGCCUGACGCAGCCAUGCCGUGUGAAUGCUGAAUGUCUUAGGUUUGAAAAAUUCUUCCACCGGGGACGAUAAUGACGGUACCCGGACAAAAAGCUCCUCCUAACUUCGUUCUAGCAGCCGCGGUAAUACGAAGGGGGCUAGCGUUGCUCGGAAUUACUGGGCGUAAAGGGCGCGUAGGCGAACAUUUAAGUCAGGGGUGAAAUCCCAGAGCUCAACUCUGGAACUGCCUUUGAUACUGGGUGUCUUGAGUGUGAGAGAGGUAUGUGGAACUCCGAGUGUAGAGGUGAAAUUCGUAGAUAUUCGGAAGAACACCAGUGGCGAAGGCGACAUACUGGCUCAUUACUGACGCUGAGGCGCGAAAGCGUGGGGAGCAAACA